AUGAACGCUGGCGGCGUGCCUAAUACCUGCCAGUCGAGCGAACAGACGAGGAGCUUGCUCCUCUGACGUUAGCGGCGGACGGGUGAGUAACACGUGGAUAACCUACCUAUAAGACUGGGAUAACUUCGGGAAACCGGAGCUAAUACCGGAUAAUAUAUUGAACCGCAUGGUUCAAUAGUGAAAGACGGUUUUGCUGUCACUUAUAGAUGGAUCCGCGCCGCAUUAGCUAGUUGGUAAGGUAACGGCUUACCAAGGCGACGAUGCGUAGCCGACCUGAGAGGGGGAUCGGCCACACUGGAACUGAGACACGGUCCAGACUCCUACGGGAGGCAGCAGUAGGGAAUCUUCCGCAAUGGGCGAAAGCCUGACGGAGCAACGCCGCGUGAGUGAUGAAGGUCUUCGGAUCGUAAAACUCUGUUAUUAGGGAAGAACAAAUGUGUAAGUAACUAUGCACGUCUUGACGGUACCUAAUCAGAAAGCCACGGCUAACUACGUG
rnacentral:rRNA from 1 species